rnacentral:precursor_RNA from 1 species
GCCAGUGCUAUGAAUGUCAAUUUUAUAGAUACUUGGCGU